CUGCAAGAAAGAAGUCGGGCGGGAGGCACGCCCCGAAUGCGCCCACCCGCUUCGCUCCUCUUCUUUCAAACUCACCUAGGCCAAGACAGGAUACCCGAAGACCAGACUUCCCCAGGACACCAACCCAAGGACACUCCAUCCCAGAGGGGCCCAGCCUGGAGAUCCGAGCAUCCCUGGCCUUCCUGGGGGGGCACCCACGAAGACAAAGAGAGGGACGGAGUAAGGGAGCGCCCAGGUGAUGGGAAGAAGAGAUGGAGUGAACUGGGACCUUCUUAGCGAAGACUGAGGGGUCCUGGCGGCGUCCCAGGAAGCCUCAGGGGUCAGGAAAGGGGAGCAGAUGGGGUGGGCUGCUCAGCCACCCCCAUACCUGUAUUUCAUGCCAGUGCCUCGGCCGGUGCUCUCUCGGAGGGCCCCCGCGGGCGCUGGGGGUCGGGGGACCAGUGCGGCCCGGGCCUUAGGGCCCGACCCUCCUCCCCCCGGAGGAUUCCCCUGACCCCCGCCGACCGGCCCGCCAUUACCGCCCCCGGGGCCCGGCCGGGGUCCACACAGACGGUCCUCGCUGCUCCGGCUGCGAAGGUUCUGCUCGGUACAAGCGAUAGACACCUGCAUGCCUGCUGGCCAGGGCGGGGGAGGGGGCUCCGA